rnacentral:rRNA from 1 species
GACGAACGCUGGCGGCGUGCUUAACACAUGCAAGUCGAACGGAAACUCCCCUUUGGGGGUAGUCGAGUGGCGAACGGGUGAGUAACACGUGAGUAACCUGCCCUUGACUUCGGGAUAACUUCGGGAAACUGGGGCUAAUACCGGAUAGGAAUCCUUGCUGCAUGGUGGGGGUUGGAAAGCUUCGGCGGUUUUGGAUGGACUUGCGGCUCAUCAGCUUGUUGGUGGGGUAGUGGCUUACCAAGGCUUUGACGGGUAGCCGGCCGGAGAGGGCGACCGGCCACCUUGGGCCUUAGAUACGGCCCAGACUCCUGCGGGAGGCAGCAGUUGGGAAUGGUGCACAAUGGGCGGUAGACUGAUGCAGAAUCGUCGCGUGCGGGAUGAGUGUCCUCGGGUUGAAAACUGCCGUCAUCAGUGGCGCAGCAUGUGGUGACCGUAACUGCAGAAGUAGAAACGGCUUAAUACGUG